AGCAGCCGCGGUAAUUCCAGCUCCAAUAGCGUAUAUUAAAGUUGUUGCAGUUAAAAAGCUCGUAGUUGAAUUUCGGGAUCUGUCUAUCGGUCGGGCUUUAUUGUCCGCACUGAUUUGAUGGAUUCUUACCUUCUGAAUAACCAUCAUGCCAUUAAUUUGGUGCGCUGGGGAAGCAGAGCUAUUACCUUGAAAAAUUAGAGUGCUUAAAGCAGGCUAGUGCUUGAAUAGAUUAGCAUGGAAUAAUAAAAUAGGACGGCAUGGUUCUAUUUUGUUGGUUUCUAGGAUCACCGUAAUGAUUAAUAGGGAUAGUUGGGGGCAUUAGUAUUCAAUUGUCAGAGGUGAAAUUCUUGGAUUUAUUGAAGACUAACUACUGCGAAAGCAUUUGCCAAGGAUGUUUUCAUUAAUCAAGAACGAAAGUUAGGGGAUCGAAGACGAUCAGAUACCGUCGUA
rnacentral:rRNA from 1 species